GGGCUGACCUUGCGAGCCUGAUCAUGGGCCCGUUCAGAAGGCCUCUGUGCGGAGUACAUCAUUGGUUUGCUGUUGGGUAGGUCGUCCACCACCACCAGGUUGAAGGGCAGCUGGCCUCCAUCUGGUCACAGUUGGUGGAUCAUUGAAGACCAAACUCACCAUAGAACGGUGUCAUGUUGUGGACAAGGAGUGGCUACUUUGUUUAUGUUCAGUGAGGUUUCCAAAGAAAGUACGAUAAUGCUCAACUCAACUCAAAACCUGGCGACCCUUUAGAAAACAGUUCUAAAGGUCUUCAAGUCCUAAACAGUGAGUCACAGUCUCCAUUCAGGUACUAAGGACAAAAACACGUAAAGACAAAACUAAAAUGACCUAUUGUCACAUUGAACCCAACGGGUGGGGGAAGGGAGGUCUGAAUGUGUGUGGAGUCGUUUCAAGGCUUACUUUGGGCGAGCAUCCCUGAGAGAGAGAGCAGCAGGAGAAACGAGAGCAGAGCUGAGGAGGCCAUUCUGACGGACGACAUCAACACCUGCGCCAACCUGCGUGAUAACCACUGGAGCCAGGUCGUCACACAGUUUACACACUGCAGCGGUUGAUUGGACAACUGCUGCAUGAAGGAUUAGAUGAUCUUCAUGUUUAAUGAGUGUCGAGCAGCACUCAGUGUUAUUCAGGACCCUGAAGGAAGAUGGCGCCACAGUCAGGAUCACACGGUCAUGUGGCGCAGGAUGAUCACGUCACUGUCCUGGACACGGUAGUUGCAGAGUCCUGAGAAACCAGAUUAAACACAUCUAAAUAUCAGCAGCUAAUAAAAAGUUACAAUAUACUAUGUAUAGAUAUAUGUUUGUGUGUGUGUAUGCGUGUGUGCGUGUGUGCGUGUGCGUGUCGUGGUGCUCUCAGCUUACCAACAGGAGUGAUCAUGUUAUGGUUUUUGACCAGAACUUGCCAGAAGCUGUUCUCAGUUUUGGUAAUAAUAUUAUUACCAAAAGUCACCCGGGUCAAAUAGGGUGGCAUUCCAAAUUUGCUUCCACAUUCGAAACUGUAACGAGGACAUGGAAAUAUACAACAGGUAAAUUACUUUCAUUCAUAAUGACCAUCUGGAUUUAUGAAAUUAUGUUUCAUUUGAAAUCGUUUAAUGUAUCAGAUUAUGUGGAGGAAGUAAACUGGGAUGCAGGACUCCAUUACAAUGCACCAGAUGAUUGAUGAAUUAGGGUUGAGGACCUAAAAAGGACACAUUUUGACUACACAACCUACCUGAAGUUUGAGACGGAAUCUUUCAAUUCUGUCAACGCCCACAGGAGUCGCUGGUUGCAGUCCGUAGUAGCAAAGGGAAUCGUUGGUGAGGUUACUGCUCUUGGGGCCCCUGCUUUUAUAUUCAACCUCAGGGAAGACGUCAUGGCAAGGGGAUAACCACCCAGACUAGUUACUGGGCAAUAUGCCCGGGAACUGGCUUCCAAGUAAUUAUUACAACACCAUUAUUUAUUUAUUUUAACUUAAAUGUAUUAUUUGUUCUAUCUAUCUUGUAAAAAAAAAUCUUGGCAUUCAGUCUGUGGAAACAAAGGAAGAAUUUCAUUGCACAACUGAGAACGUCUCAUUUAUGCAUAUGACAAUAAACACUUUGAAUUGAAUUGAAUUGAAUUACACAGAUAAACAACUCUUGGUCAUUACCUUGGAAAGUCAUCCAACCCGGAUGACUUUGAUGUGUUUGUGAAAUAUCCUACGUUGUUUCUUCAUCUCUUCUUGCAGUCAAGUGUUUAAACCUCAACCUGCCUUUGGUUCUGCAUCCUAACGCUGAACAAUUCAAUUAAAUAAAACACAGGGUCAAGAG
ensembl:lncRNA